UGCCAGCCGCCGCGGUAAUACAGAGGGUGCAAGCGUUGUUCGGAAUCAUUGGGCGUAAAGGGCGUCUAGGCGGUCUUCUAAGUCUGAUGUGAAAGCCUGGGGCUCAACCUCGGAAGUGCAUCGGAAACUGGAAGGCUUGAAUCUCGGAGAGGGUGGUGGAAUUCCUGGUGUAGAGGUGAAAUUCGUAGAUAUCAGGAGGAACACCGGCGGCGAAGGCGGCCACCUGGACGAUGAUUGACGCUGAAGCGCGAAAGCGUGGGUAGCAAACAGGAUUAGAUA
rnacentral:rRNA from 1 species